rnacentral:tRNA from 2 species
UCCUCCGUGGCGCAAUUGGCUAGCGCGUCUGACUGUUAUGGGUCUCCAAAGCAAUCAGGAGGUUGACAGUUCAAGCCUGUCCGGGGGAG